rnacentral:lncRNA from 1 species
UAGGAAAUGGCACCACAGUGGAGUCUCAAGGCAAAGGAACUGUCAUGGUGGAAACAAAGAAAGGUACGAAAUUCAUCAAGGAUGUUUUACUAGUUCCUAAUCUUAAAGAGAAUCUUUUAUGUAUUGGCCAAAUGAUGGAGAAUGGAUAUUCUCUUCAUUUUGAGAAAGAUACAUGCAAAAUUUAUGAUAGUAAAAUGAUAGAAAUUGGACAAGUAAAAAUAGAGAAGAGAAAUAGAAGCUUUCCUAUAAGCUUCAAACCUGGAACUAAUAUUGCCAUGAAGAUAGAAGUUGAUGACUCAUGGCUUUGGCAUAGGAGAUUUGGCCACUUCAACACACAUGCCUUAAAGCUUCUAUAUCAGAAAAACAUGAUGAGAGAUCUUCCAUUCUUGAAGGAGAAUAAUGAAUCGUGCGAAGGAUGUCUCCUCGGAAAACAACACCGAUUACCAUUCUCAACUGACAAAGCAUGGAGAGCAAAAGACUUAUUGGAGUUGCUUCAUACCGAUGUUUGCGGACCAAUGAGAACGCCUUCACAUCACAACAACAGGUAUUUCAUCCUCUUCAUUGAUGACUUCUCUAGAAUGACAUGGGUCUAUUUCUUAAAGGCAAAGUCAGAAGUCUUCGGAGUAUUCAAGAAAUUUAAGGCCCUUGUUGAGAAGCAAAGUGGGAAACAAAUAAAAAUACUCAGAAGUGAUCGUGGCAAGGAGUACACAUCUCACGAGUUUGACAAAUUCUGUGAAGAUGAAGGCAUAGAGCGACAACUUACAGUUGCAUAUACUCCACAACAAAAUGGCGUGUCAGAGAGAAAGAAUCGCACGGUUAUGGAGAUGGCAAGAUCAAUGCUAAAAGAGAAAAACAUGCCUAACAUUUUUUGGGCUGAAGNAGUCUACACUGCAGUUUACAUUCUAAACAGAUGUCCAACUAAGGCAGUCCAAGACAAGACUCCUAUUGAAGCUUGGAGUGGGAGAAAGCCAUCGGCUAAACACCUACGAGUAUUUGGGUCUAUCUGCUACAUACAUGUUCCUGAUCAAAGGAGGCACAAGCUUGAAGACAAGACUAUACGAGGAAUAUUCUUGGGAUAUAGCACACACUCAAAAGGCUAUCGAGUCUACAACCUACAAACAAAAAAGCUCAUCAUUAGUCGAGAUGUUGAAGUUGACGAAAAUGCUUCUUGGAAUUGGGAAGAAGAAAAAGUCGUUAAAAGCAACAUACUACUUCCAGUGCAGCAAUCUCAAGAAGAAACUCAAGAAGAAGCAGAAAAUGCAGGUACGCUUUCUCCACCUCCACAACAACAAGAUUCUUCACCUGAAUCUAGUCCAGGAAGAGUAAGAUCUUUGGUAGACAUAUAUGAAACUUGCAAUAUAGCCAUGAUUGAGCCUAACUGUUAUGAAGAAGCAUCAAAGCAAGAAGUAUGGGUCAAGGCAAUGGAAGAAGAGAUUAAAAUGAUUGAGAAGAAUAACACUUGGGAACUCGUAAAUUGCCCUCAUGGAAAAGAUGUCAUAGGAGUGAAAUGGAUAUAAAACAAAGCUUAAUCCUGAUGGAACUAUACAAAAGCACAAGGCAAGAUUAGUUGCUAAAGGCUACUCACAACAACCAGGAAUAGACUACAAUGAGACAUUUGCUCCAGUUGCUCGCUUAUAUACAAUUAGAGUCUUAAUAGCCCUUGCAGCACAAAAAGGAUGGAACAUCUAUCAACUAGAUGUCAAAUCAGCCUUUCUAAAUGGAGUGCUCGAAGAAGAAAUUUAUGUUGAACAACCACAAGGCUUCAUCAAAAAAGGAAAUAAAGGCAAAGUACUAAGACUAAAAAAGGCAUUAUACGGCCUAAAGCAAGCUCCUCGAGCAUGGUAUAGCAAGAUUGAUAAAUACUUCAUCGAUCAAGGAUUCAGGAGGAGCAAGAGUGAGCCAACACUAUAUAUUAAGGCACAAGGUCAGUACCAUCUCAUUAUCUCUUUAUAUGUCG